rnacentral:rRNA from 1 species
UUAAGCGACUAAGCGUACACGGUGGAUGCCCUGGCAGUCAGAGGCGAUGAAGGGCGUGCUAAUCUGCGAUAAGCGCCGGUAAGGUGAUAUGAACCGUUAUAACCGGCGAUACCCGAAUGGGGAAACCCAGUGUGACUCGUCACACUAUCAUUAACUGAAUCCAUAGGUUAAUGAGGCGAACCGGGGGAACUGAAACAUCUAAGUACCCCGAGGAAAAGAAAUCAACCGAGAUUCCCCCAGUAGCGGCGAGCGAACGGGGAGGAGCCCAGAGCCUGAAUCAGCAUGUGUGUUAGUGGAAGCGUCUGGAAAGGCGCGCGAUACAGGGUGACAGCCCCGUACACAAAAGCGCAUGUGCUGUGAGCUCGAUGAGUAGGGCGGGACACGUGGUAUCCUGUCUGAAUAUGGGGGGACCAUCCUCCAAGGCUAAAUACUCCUGACUGACCGAUAGUGAACCAGUACCGUGAGGGAAAGGCGAAAAGAACCCCGGCGAGGGGAGUGAAAAAGAACCUGAAACCGUGUACGUACAAGCAGUGGGAGCACCCUUCGGGGUGUGACUGCGUACCUUUUGUAUAAUGGGUCAGCGACUUAUAUUCUGUAGCAAGGUUAACCGUAUAGGGGAGCCGUAGGGAAACCGAGUCUUAACCGGGCGUUAAGUUGCAGGGUAUAGACCCGAAACCCGGUGAUCUAGCCAUGGGCAGGUUGAAGGUUGGGUAACACUAACUGGAGGACCGAACCGACUAAUGUUGAAAAAUUAGCGGAUGACCUGUGGCUGGGGGUGAAAGGCCAAUCAAACCGGGAGAUAGCUGGUUCUCCCCGAAAGCUAUUUAGGUAGCGCCUCGUGAAUUCAUCUCCGGGGGUAGAGCACUGUUUCGGCUAGGGGGCCAUCCCGGCUUACCAACCCGAUGCAAACUGCGAAUACCGGAGAAUGUUAUCACGGGAGACACACGGCGGGUGCUAACGUCCGUCGUGAAGAGGGAAACAACCCAGACCGCCAGCUAAGGUCCCAAAGUCAUGGUUAAGUGGGAAACGAUGUGGGAAGGCCCAGACAGCCAGGAUGUUGGCUUAGAAGCAGCCAUCAUUUAAAGAAAGCGUAAUAGCUCACUGGUCGAGUCGGCCUGCGCGGAAGAUGUAACGGGGCUAAACCAUGCACCGAAGCUGCGGCAGCGAACGUAUCACUUAAAGCGAUUCAGCGGGUUACGAUUGACGGAGCGAAGCGACGUCAAAGCGUAUACAAAGUCGAGUCGGUUUAAGGAUACGUUCGUUGGGUAGGGGAGCGUUCUGUAAGCCUGUGAAGGUGUGUCGUGAGGCAUGCUGGAGGUAUCAGAAGUGCGAAUGCUGACAUAAGUAACGAUAAAGCGGGUGAAAAGCCCGCUCGCCGGAAGACCAAGGGUUCCUGUCCAACGUUAAUCGGGGCAGGGUGAGUCGACCCCUAAGGCGAGGCCGAAAGGCGUAGUCGAUGGGAAACAGGUUAAUAUUCCUGUACUUGGUGUUACUGCGAAGGGGGGACGGAGAAGGCUAUGUUGGCCGGGCGACGGUUGUCCCGGUUUAAGCGUGUAGGUGUGUGUUCCAGGUAAAUCCGGUUCACUUUAACACUGAGGCGUGAUGACGAGGCACUACGGUGCUGAAGCAACAAAUGCCCUGCUUCCAGGAAAAGCCUCUAAGCAUCAGGUAACAUCAAAUCGUACCCCAAACCGACACAGGUGGUCAGGUAGAGAAUACCAAGGCGCUUGAGAGAACUCGGGUGAAGGAACUAGGCAAAAUGGUGCCGUAACUUCGGGAGAAGGCACGCUGACACGUAGGUGAAGUGAUUUACUCAUGGAGCUGAAGUCAGUCGAAGAUACCAGCUGGCUGCAACUGUUUAUUAAAAACACAGCACUGUGCAAACACGAAAGUGGACGUAUACGGUGUGACGCCUGCCCGGUGCCGGAAGGUUAAUUGAUGGGGUCAGCGCAAGCGAAGCUCCUGAUCGAAGCCCCGGUAAACGGCGGCCGUAACUAUAACGGUCCUAAGGUAGCGAAAUUCCUUGUCGGGUAAGUUCCGACCUGCACGAAUGGCGUAAUGAUGGCCAGGCUGUCUCCACCCGAGACUCAGUGAAAUUGAACUCGCUGUGAAGAUGCAGUGUACCCGCGGCAAGACGGAAAGACCCCGUGAACCUUUACUAUAGCUUGACACUGAACAUUGAGCCUUGAUGUGUAGGAUAGGUGGGAGGCUUUGAAGUGUGGACGCCAGUCUGCAUGGAGCCGACCUUGAAAUACCACCCUUUAAUGUUUGAUGUUCUAACGUGGACCCGUAAUCCGGGUUGCGGACAGUGUCUGGUGGGUAGUUUGACUGGGGCGGUCUCCUCCUAAAGAGUAACGGAGGAGCACGAAGGUUGGCUAAUCCUGGUCGGACAUCAGGAGGUUAGUGCAAUGGCAUAAGCCAGCUUGACUGCGAGCGUGACGGCGCGAGCAGGUGCGAAAGCAGGUCAUAGUGAUCCGGUGGUUCUGAAUGGAAGGGCCAUCGCUCAACGGAUAAAAGGUACUCCGGGGAUAACAGGCUGAUACCGCCCAAGAGUUCAUAUCGACGGCGGUGUUUGGCACCUCGAUGUCGGCUCAUCACAUCCUGGGGCUGAAGUAGGUCCCAAGGGUAUGGCUGUUCGCCAUUUAAAGUGGUACGCGAGCUGGGUUUAGAACGUCGUGAGACAGUUCGGUCCCUAUCUGCCGUGGGCGCUGGAGAACUGAGGGGGGCUGCUCCUAGUACGAGAGGACCGGAGUGGACGCAUCACUGGUGUUCGGGUUGUCAUGCCAAUGGCACUGCCCGGUAGCUAAAUGCGGAAGAGAUAAGUGCUGAAAGCAUCUAAGCACGAAACUUGCCCCGAGAUGAGUUCUCCCUGAGACUUUAGGUCUCCUGAAGGAACGUUGAAGACGACGACGUUGAUAGGCCGGGUGUGUAAGCGCAGCGAUGCGUUGAGCUAACCGGUACUAAUGAACCGUGAGGCUUAACCUU